rnacentral:rRNA from 1 species
UGGGGAAUUUUGGACAAUGGGCGCAAGCCUGAUCCAGCCAUUCCGCGUGAGUGAAGAAGGCCUUCGGGUUGUAAAGCUCUUUCGCAAGGGAAGAAAACUUAGUCUCUAACAUAGACUGAGGUUGACGGUACCUUGAUAAGAAGCACCGGCUAACUACGUGCCAGCAGCCGCGGUAAUACGUAGGGUGCGAGCGUUAAUCGGAAUUACUGGGCGUAAAGCGUGCGCAGGCGGUUUUGUAAGUCAGAUGUGAAAUCCCCGAGCUCAACUUGGGAACUGCGUUUGAAACUACAAGACUAGAAUAUGUCAGAGGGGGGUAGAAUUCCACGUGUAGCAGUGAAAUGCGUAGAGAUGUGGAGGAAUACCAAUGGCGAAGGCAGCCCCCUGGGAUAAUAUUGACGCUUAGGCACGAAAGCGUGGGGAGCAAACAG